CUGACAGGUGCUCUCGAAGGCAGGUGUUUAAUAACUUUGGAGACUGUGACACUAGAAUAGAGGAAAAACUUCCAAGACUCUCAUAGACAGGAUACAGUUGAGGACAAUGGUAAUUUAACCAAGUCUUUGACUGGAGUUGCAUACUUUCAGAUAUAAAGAAACUGCUUUAAGGGAUCAGAGUUGACUUAGAAAGCCAAUAAAAGCCCCUUUGGAAAGCUGGCCUCCUACCUUGUCUACCCAGUUCUUGUACAGGUUUCUGACCUGUGCUGUGCCUUCUUAAAGGCUGGAGCCUGGAGCACAUGAGGAGAAUUCACAGAAGUGCCUGGAAAGGGAACUGCGGUGGAUCUUACAGAGACUUGAAACAUGUGGAGAAGUUUGGCUUUUAUUCAUAAAGGACAAAGUGCUGCCUCCACCUCCCCACCUGUCUAGUUUUAUUCAGUGAUGUCUAUCCUCAUGACUUGGGCCAUUUUCAUCAUCACGUCUAUUUGGUUACCUAGGUCUGCCGUUUUUUGUUUUUGUUUUUUCCCAAAUGCUUUCCACAUAAGAUGGCCUAGGUGUCAAUUGCUUAUCUCAGUGGAAUCAUUUCUACUCACCUAUAAAAUGGGAGUAAUAAAAAUGCUAUGUAUCCGA